rnacentral:rRNA from 1 species
CUAGUAACUGCGAGUGAAGCGGGAAGGGCUCAAAUUUCGAAUCUGGCGGUCUCGGGCCGUCCGAGUUGUAAUCUAGAGAAGCGUCUUCCGCGCCGGACCGUGUACAAGUCUCCUGGAAGGGAGCGUCGUAGAGGGUGACAGUCCCGUCUUCGACACGGACUUUUCCCGGGGCUUUGUGAUGCGCUCUCGACAAGUCAAGUUGUUUGGAAAUGCAGCUCAAAUCGGGGGGUGAACUCCAUCUAAAGCUAAAUACGGGCGAGAGACCGAUAGCGAACAAGUACCGGGAGGGAAAAAUGAAAAAAACUCUGGAAAAAAAGUCAAACAGUACGUGAAAUUGCUGGAAGGGAAACGCUCGACGUCAGUCGGGUCGUCCGGGGAUCAACCCUGCUUUUUUCCUAGCUGGGCGUAUUUCCUGGUUCGACGGGUCAGCAUCGAUUUCGGCCGUCGUAAAAGGAUGGAAGUGAAUGUGGCACUUCUCGAAGGGUGUUAUAGCCUCUCGUAUGGAAUGCAAUGGCCGGAAUCAAGGAACUCGGCACGACCCCUCGAGGGGGGGUUCGGGGCUUCGGUCCACGCAGCGUGCCCAGGAUGCUGGCAGUAAUGGCUUUGAGCGACCCGUCUUGAAACACGGACCAAGGAGUCUAACGUGCCUGCGAGUGUUCGGGUGGAAACCCGAGCGCGCACGAAAGUGAAGUCGGGACCUCCGUAGUGGAGGGCACCGACGCCCAGACUCGGAGCCUCUGGCGAUGGAUCUGCGGUGGAGCACGUACGUUGGGACCCGAAGAUGGUGACUAUGCCCGAAUAGGCGAACCAGAGGAACUCUGGUGGAGGUCGUAGCGAUCUGACGUGCAAUCGACGUCGAUUUGGGUUAGGGCGAAGAUAAUCGACCGUCUAGUGCUGGUCCCGCCGAA